rnacentral:lncRNA from 1 species
GCUUUUAAAGUCACAGCAGAAGAAGCAGGAAUGUUUGUAACCAGUGGCCAAACAGUAUUAAACUCCUGGGUUGUUUUGGGAGGACUCACUACAACUACAGCCCAACUACAUUUAUUAUGCCAGAUAACACAGUGCUGAGGGGACAUACUGGAGUUGACAAGAUCCCGUGGGGGCACAAGUGGCAAUGGCUGUGCACCAGUGGCUGGAUAUUCCUGAAAAAUGAAACAAAAUUAAACUAGUGGUCAUCCAAGAAGAUGUAGAAUUAACGUACUGAAAAGCAUUGAUGAACAUGGUCCAGGUCAACAGGAAAGCUGCAGGAAUCAUGUACCUGUUCAGUGCCCAUGCAGCCACUGACAUCACUGGCUUCAGGGUU